CGGGUAAGCUUCUCUUCCUCAGCGGCUGCACGGACGGGGCCUGACGCCGGAGGCGGCGGUGGCGGAGCGUCGCAGCCCUGCUGCCAGGUUGACGAUUGCGCCGCAGACCUCCGCGAGGCCAAACGUUACCACCGCCGGCACAAGGUCUGCGAGGCCCACUCCAAGGCUGCCGUCGUCGUGGUCGCCGGCCUCCGCCAGAGGUUCUGCCAGCAAUGCAGCAGGUAAGAGAACUUUCAAGAACUGCAACAUUAGGGAUAGAGUAGCUACAAUUGCAAGCUAUAAAAUAAGGAAAAGGUGGAAGCUUUGAGAUAUUAUUUCCAAUUGCAAGCUGCAACUCUUCUCUCUGUUUAUGAAUCUUUCUACUGGAUUAUACUAUCUUUGAUUUUUAACACGGAUCUGUCAAUAAGAAUUCUACGUUAAUGAUUUGGAUCUUUCAAUUAUUUGGCUGCCGAGGAGUAUCCUGAAUCAAAAUAAACAUGCUUCAUCAGAAUUGUACAACAAUCCAUAAGCACAUGAAAUCGGAGUACCAAUCUGUGCUUUUCGGCUACUAGUUUCCUCUAGUAUGUUUUACAUGAACCUUCGUUGACAACCAUGUCUUGACAUAUGAAUCCUUGCAAAGGAAGUAAUUUUUGUGCACGGAUAUACUGAGCUUUAGUCCUUGUGUGUGCCGUGUGCAGGUUCCAUGAGCUAGCAGAGUUUGACGACUCCAAGAGGAGCUGCCGCAGGCGCCUGGCUGGCCACAAUGAGCGGCGCAGGAAGAGCUCUACCGACACGCAGCCAGAAGGAUCAAACCGCUGCAGGGAGGCUGACCUCCCUGGAAAUCCUGCAUACAAGCAUUUCCAGAUCAGAUAAGAACCUGAUCAGGCUCUCUCUCUUCUGUCAUGCAUGGCUUCCUUCUCCACCG
rnacentral:lncRNA from 1 species